rnacentral:rRNA from 1 species
UUGCUCCCUUAGGUCAGCGGCGGACGGGUGAGUAACACGUGGGUAACCUGCCUGUAAGACUGGGAUAACUCCGGGAAACCGGGGCUAAUACCGGAUGCUUGAUUGAACCGCAUGGUUCAAUCAUAAAAGGUGGCUUUUAGCUACCACUUACAGAUGGACCCGCGGCGCAUUAGCUAGUUGGUGAGGUAACGGCUCACCAAGGCGACGAUGCGUAGCCGACCUGAGAGGGUGAUCGGCCACACUGGGACUGAGACACGGCCCAGACUCCUACGGGAGGCAGCAGUAGGGAAUCUUCCGCAAUGGACGAAAGUCUGACGGAGCAACGCCGCGUGAGUGGUGAAGGUUUUCGGAUCGUAAAACUCUGUUGUUAGGGAAGAACAAGUACCGUUCGAAUAGGGCGGCACCUUGACGGUACCUAACCAGAAAGCCACGGCUAACUACGUGCCAGCAGCCGCGGUAAUACGUAGGUGGCAAGCGUUGUCCGGAAUUAUUGGGCGUAAAGCGCGCGCAGGCGGUUUCUUAAGUCUGAUGUGAAAGCCCCCGGCUCAACCGGGGAGGGUCAUUGGAAACUGGGGAACUUGAGUGCAGAAGAGGAGAGUGGAAUUCCACGUGCAGCGGUGAAAUGCGUAGAGAUGUGGAGGAACACCAGUGGCGAAGGCGACUCUCUGGUCUG